rnacentral:rRNA from 1 species
GACGAACGCUGGCGGCGUGCCUAACACAUGCAAGUCGAGCGGAGAUACAUUGAAGAGCAAUCAGAUAUGUAUCUUAGCGGCGGACGGGUGAGUAACGCGUGGGCAACCUGCCUCAUACUGGGGGAUAACACAGGGAAACUUGUGCUAAUACCGCAUAAUAUCAUUAUAGGGCAUCCUGUGAUGAUCAAAGGAGCAAUCCGGUGUGAGAUGGGCCCGCGUCCAAUUAGCUAGUUGGUGGGGUAACGGCCCACCAAGGCGACGAUUGGUAGCCGAACUGAGAGGUUGAUCGGCCACAUUGGGACUGAGACACGGCCCAGACUCCUACGGGAGGCAGCAGUGGGGAAUAUUGCGCAAUGGGGGAAACCCUGACGGAGCAACGCCGCGUGGGUGAAGAAGGCCUCGGUUGUAAGCCUGUCUUAUGGGACGAGGAGGAGACGGUACCGAUAGGAGGAAGGCCACGGCUAACUACGUGCCAGCAGCCGCGGUAA